AAGGAUUUAAGUUAAGCAAACUAACAACCUUCAAAGUUGUAAAUGGAAACCCGCCUCCAAGCCUUA
rnacentral:tRNA from 1 species